GUGGGGAAUCUUCCGCAAUGGGCGAAAGCCUGACGGAGCAACGCCGCGUGAAUGAAGAAGGCCUUCGGGUCGUAAAGUUCUGUCUUUAGGGACGAAUGGGUAUGCGCAAAUAGUGUAUGCUUUGACGGUACCUUAGGAGGAAGCUCCGGCUAACUACGUGCCAGCAGCCGCGGUAAUACGUAGGGAGCAAGCGUUGUCCGGAAUUACUGGGCGUAAAGGGCGCGUAGGCGGGAAUGCAAGUCAGAUGUGAAAACUCCGGGCUCAACUUGGAGAUUGCAUUUGAAACUGUGUUUCUUGAGGGCAGGAGAGGAAAGUGGAAUUCCUAGUGUAGCGGUGAAAUGCGUAGAUAUUAGGAGGAACACCAGUGGCGAAGGCGACUUUCUGGACGAUGUCUGACGCUGAGGCGCGAAAGCUAGGGGAGCGAACGGGAUUAGAUACCCUUGUAGUCC
rnacentral:rRNA from 1 species